UCCAGCAGCCGCGGUAAUACGUUCCCGGGUCUUGUACACACCGCCCGUCACACCACGAGAGUUUACAACACCCGAAGUCGGUGGGGUAACCCGCAAGGGAGCCAGCCGCCGAAGGUGGGGUAGAUGAUUGGGGUGAAGUCGUGGGGGGGGAGCCGUAUCGGAAGGUGCGGCUGGAUCACCUCCUUUCUAAGGAAUAUCCCGAUCACGAUGAUGAUCGGAUAACAAGGCAGCUACGUAUUGCUCGCUCGUUGUCAGUUUUGAAGGAGCAAUCCUUCAACUUAAUAUCCGUUUGGUGAUGAUGGCGGAGGGGAAC
rnacentral:misc_RNA from 1 species